rnacentral:misc_RNA from 1 species
AUCAACGUGUUAACCGUCUCUGGAGACAUGGCCAAAUUUCGCUACCUUACCAUUCUUCUUUUGAUUUGUCUACUGACCAUUGAUCAUUCCGAAUCAUGGCGGCGCAGGCGUUUCCGGCGGUUUACCAGGAGAGUUGGCCGCGCAAUUAGAAGAGUCAGAAGAACGAUACAAACGGUGAACACAGCGGUCGGCGUCAUUCGGGCGGUUGGAGCUAUAGCCGGUGCAGGAAAGCGAUCAGCUGACGAUGUUCUUCCAGAAAUAAACGUUUGUGACUUUAGCACCCUGGAUUUAGACAAAGACUAUGAUGUGGAUGAAGAAGAACUGAUAACUCUCAUACAAAUGUCAGGAUUGGAAGAACUAGAAGAUUUGUUUGAAAAACUAGACAAAGAUGGAGGCAAGUAUUUGUUGGGGUUUUUUUUUUUGGGGGGGGGGGGGGGUAGGGGAGGUAGAGGAUAUGGUUUUUUUUUUUAUUUUAUAGAAUUUUCAUGAUAGAAUUAUUCAUAAGAACCUGAUUCUGUUGGUUUUUUGGUAACCUCACAGCGAAUACAUCUUUUAAAAUAGCAAAACUAUUCCAAUUUAAAAAUAAAUCACAUAAAUUCUGAUAAGAACAGAAAAAGGACGACAUUUUUAAAAUGCUUUUUGACACGUGAUAAAUUUUAAAUAAAAUGUUCUUCAAUCAUCUUUAAAGUUGGUAAAAGGUUUAGUUUUCAUCUUGAAACAUAAUAGUAUAAAUGUUAGAGUACGAUGCAUAAUACUUGAUUGACUAUUGCGUCGUUCAAGAUUUUUUAUAUUAGGCUUUUAAAAAAAUCUUUAAUAUUAUAAACAAUGAUGAUUAAAACACUACAAUUUUUAAAGUGUAAUAGAUUUUUUUUUCUUUUUUUUUUUUACAAAAUACAUGUUUUUACUUAUACAUAUUGCUAAAUGAAAUCAAUGAUAAAAUAUUAGUAUUUAGUGAUUUUGACCAUGUCUUACAUUGUAAUUAUAAUGUUUUUUUAUGCUUUUGAAAAAUAAUUAGAUAAUUUUUUUUCAACCGUUCGAAAUACAUCUUUGUUACAAUAUAAUGUAUGGUUUGAUUGAUAAUUACAUUAAAAAAUAAUGAAUGACUAAAUAAAAGUAUUAUCAUUGUGCUAAUGAACAGAUAAAAAAAUUACACAAGAGGAGUUCGAUUCGUCCGACAUUAUAGAUGAAAUAUGUUCCGAGGAUGAGAAAGAAGACAAACAAAUAGAAAAUGAAGAUGCUAAAGGAACAGUAUAAAAGAACCGUUGUACAACAAAAUAUGACAUCGGCAGAGAGCAAGAGAACGGACACUUUCUAUCAUUACUGUGAAAAGAAUUAUGUAUAAGGGGUUCUUCAGCAAAAUUAAUUUUACUAGAUAUUUCUGGUUUUAAAUUUUAUUACAAUUGAAGACGGGUUGUGGUAAAUUCAUGGAAUCCAUAAAGAAAAAACCCAUGUUGUUAUUUAAUUAUGUUUAUUUGUUCUGCUAAAAAGUGAUUAGGAUAUAUUGAGUAAAACUAUAACUCAAACGGAAAAUUUAUUUUCACUUAUCAUGCACAUGAUAGUUUGAAUAAAAAAUAACACUC